ensembl:lncRNA
GUAGAGUUGUGGAGGGUCCAGUCAUUACUUAUAAUUGUGGCUGUAAGACCACAUCAUACUGUCUAGUAAUAGUUGUCUUUAUAAGGAGAAGAUUGGCCUAAUCCAUAGAGCAUAGAUUGAGAGUCAGUUGAUCUAGUUGCACUUCAUCUGUGGAUUUUCUGUCUGAACACCAGCGAUGUAGGCAUCUGUUGACUCAAGAAACAAGGAAGCUUUUUUUAUUUUUUCUCAGUGUGAUAGUUUUGUAUUUGUGUAACAAAUAACUUAGUUUUGAACAGUUCCAGGGGCUGGUAACAGCGCAUGAAGUAGAUAAAACAGAGGCCCUCGAUCUAUUUGGGAUGUGCAAUUUUCUUCUUGUGCUGUCAGCUCCUGUCUUUUCCUGUCCUUAUUCUCAAAAGGCUGGAAAUAAUUUUCUAAACUUUACAGAAAUGUCAGGUUUUCAACACAAAUUUGCAGUAAGUUGUAAGGACCAAGGACUCACUUUUAAUACAGAAUUGCUUUGCGAAGCUUGACAAUAGCCAUUGCCAGUGCUAAAGAAGUAAUGUAAAUGAAUUGUUUGCACUCUUACCCAUGGUGUCAUUACAACUUCUCUCUAUAAUGUUUUGUACUCUGCAAAAUACUUUUUUUUUUAAUUUAUUUUUUUAACCACUCCAAAAGCUAAUUCUAGUUUCCUGUUCUAAGGAUACUUCACAUAUUAUGACGGUAUAAAAGGCAUAUGACAACAAAUGGUGAAGGAAUUCUGUAGGAGUGCUGACACAGAACACUGAUGAGAUUUGGGAGGAGAUGUUUUAAAUUAGAAACUUGGGAAGAGUUGACAGUUGACGAAGGGUACUGAGGUCACCCAAAGACAUCUGGUAAGACUGCCAGUCACUAUCGCAAAGGCAAUUUUGCCAAGUUUGGGAUAGGACAGAAAACAGAGCUGCACAGGAGGAGGAAUAGUUGGAGAUCAGAGUUGAAUUCUUGAAAAGUAGCAAGGUUACACAUGUGAACUACACCAAAUUAGGCACAGGGCCAAAAGUGUAUGUUAUAAAUAUGCUCAAAUGGGCAUACUUAUAAAAAUCUGUAUAUUUUCUGAUUUUAAGCAUAAAGUCUCAGUAAAAUUUACAGGUCAAAAAUUCAGCGUGUGUCACCUUCUGAAGGAAAUGCCAGUCAGUGGUCUCCAGUAGACACUGAAUAUAACCAACUCUGUUUAUUGAGACUUCUGUCUUUAGGAUACUGUCUGAUUCCUCCCUUUCUUCCUUCCUUUUUUUCUUGUCUUGGUUCAGUCUUUUAAAUUGUUCUUCCUGGUUAAUUAAUCUUAGCCUUCUGAUAUGGUCUGUUGUUUACAGCACCACAAUUCAUCAUCAGAGAAUUGCAUGCAGUUCAGUGUGCUUGACCCAAGACACAGAUCUGAGCAUCUGCCCAUUUUGCGGAAGCGAGGCAUCUGGCACAGCCUUCAGAGCUGAGAGCUGUCCUUAUUGUGGGCUCUGGCAAACUUCAGAUUUGAGUCACCAGGCAUUGUGGGGAAGCAGAGACUGGGCAGUUGUCCCUUCAAAGUGUUAUACUACAAAUGUUGGGCUGUUGUCACUGAGGAUGAAUUGGAUAAGAAAACUAUGCUGAUAACAAUGCACACUUUGAUACAAGAACACCUUGAAAUUCUGUCUAGCUAAAAGCUUUGUGGCAACAUACAUUAUUUCUGCAAAAGACUUCUCACUAGGUGAUUGUGAUUCCCUAAAAUGUGGAGAUGCAGAAUUCUUGGCUACACGACAAACAUUCAUACUCACAAGGGUAGUGCAAAAAAUGUAGAUUAUAACGUGGGUGUGGAAUAGCUAUAAAAGACUGGAGUGAGAUUCUAAGUGAGAUUUCUGUGUAAUGUUCUCCUUAUGUCAAGACUAGUUAUUCACUUUCUGGAGGAAAUGCUUACCUCUUGGUUACAGUAUAUCAAGGCUUUUGAAGAUAUUAGCAUGUUACUCUGAAGAUGGCUGUGCUAGCUUUCUGAAUUGUCUGUUGAAAUUCUAAGUGCUGAAUAUUACAGAAAAAUGCUGAAAACUAGGUGUAAGUACUCCUACAGAAUUCAGUGAUCUUCCAGCUUUACAAAGCCAAGGAAUUUUCUGAUGUGUGACUUGGGAGCUUAGUUCUUGCUGUUUCGUUAUCCUAGAAUGGCUGGCUUAUUUUGUCCAUAUGAUUCCAAGUGCAAUUUUGGUUACCUCUGAAAAGUUUGAUGAAGUCACUGGGAACUGGAUGGACCAAGAACAACUCUUGAUCCUUAUUGUUUAGAACUGAGCAAAUCCAAUGUCUUCAAUUUUAUGUAGAAAAAAAAUAUAUAGGUGAAGUUUCAAGGAUAAAUAGAUCUUUAGUCUUCAAAAUACAGUGGAAGACAAAUCAAAUCUACAGUAAUAAACUCCUAGAAAAUGAAUUCAGAAAUGAGAAGUUUCUGUGGCUUCCAAAAUCAGCCAUAAGUACUCAAAAUGAUAGGUGAGUGUGUAAGAAAAGAAAACAUUUCUGUAAGCAUGUAUUCAAUGUUUAUAUGAUGUAUCCAUUUGUGUGUGUGUGUGUAUAUAUAUAUAUAUAGUUUAUAUAUUUAAUUUUCAUUAUUGGUUAACAAGUAAAACUGCAUGGGUUAUCUUUGUAGCAAACAUAAGUGUAAUUGUUCCAUUAAUAAGUAUCUGACUAGCUUGUGAAAACAUUCUUUUCAAGAUUUUGAUACGUUUGGGCAACAAUUUUAUAGCACGCAGUUUUAUGUUCAGAGGCAUUUGUGCUUUGGCUUUUCAUCAUGUUGUAAGUGACAAGAAAACUCUAAACAGAAGUGGUUAACAGGAAGCCUCUUCAAGGUACUAAGCAAGUCUUGCAAGAAACUGAGGCCCCUUCCUAGUUCAUGUGCCUUACUAAGUCAUUUCCCUGGUCAUUUUCCCUGGCCCACAGUCAUGUAUGAACUCUGGGAAGGUGCCCAAUAGUAAGCUAAAAAGUCUUGAGUCCCAUAAUAGAAUAAUAGAGUCUUAAUCAACAAGAGCUGCACUGUAGCGCAGUGCAAUGACUUUAAUAGCAGUGUUACAGGAAGCUUGUGUUCAGCCAAAGUUCACAAGCAGUAGGAUAGAAGCUCUCAUAUCUGUAAGUUAAGGUGAAGCAAGCUAAAGACAAUAUCAGGAGUAGUAUUCUGCUGGAAGGUAGCUUAGCUGCAUUUUGGGUGAAAUACUAUUACCUAUGACAUAUAAUUCACUAACGUGUAAAAAAUACAUGUUAAUAGCAUGACUGAGUGCCUUCUAAGGUAUGAGUAUGGGGAAACUCUUUAGGAACCUUGUAUGUGUUAUCCUCAUACGUGAUGUGGACGUGAAUCCAAUGAAGUAAGGUUAUUGGAAAUGGACCACUGAAAAAUCAAAGCCAAAAAUGGGACAGGCUUCUCUCAAAGUAACAGCAAUCCUCAGCUGGCACUAGAAUUGGCAGCGUUUGUGUCUUAUAGUCCUUGGUGCUGACUGCUGUGCUGCAAUGUGGCCUAGUAAAGUUUUUUUGUUCUUGUUUGUUUUGUUGUUGUGUUACAGUGUUUUUUUGUUUUCUUCUUUAAAUGUUUUCACAUAACUUCCAGAAUGCCCAUGUGUGCCAACAAGUGUGUGAAUGUUAAACCUGAUGGAUUAGGAAUGCAGGUAUACACGGCCAUGCAUGGUAUGAAUGUUAAUAAUCCUGGCUUCUAUUUUUGAAUCUACUGCAAAGUGUGUGUAAAGGAAGGUGCAAUGUCUUUUUCUAGGUGCUACACUGAGGUGUCAUUUUGUACAAUAUGACGAGUAACUGAUACAAGUCGCUUGGGAUUUGGCGCUUAUGUGGUACCAUAACAUGUCAAUGCUAUAAGAUGUCUAAAGCCUUGUGAGCUUCAGGAGUGUUCAGUUCCCACUGAGAUGACUUGAAUCUUCUAGCAGAAAAUGAGCUGGAUGUCAAA